rnacentral:snoRNA from 1 species
UGUACUGUAUGGUACCUGCACUCAACAGUCUGUGUUCAAAAGACAGUGCCAUAGAAAUUCAGUAUCUGGCAUUGUUGCUUUUCAUGUCUUUGUGUAUGUUAAACCUGGUAUUCCAUUGAUACAUUA